rnacentral:rRNA from 1 species
CAGUCGCCGCGGUAAUACGUAGGGUGCGAGCGUUAAUCGGAAUUACUGGGCGUAAAGCGUGCGCAGGCGGUUGUGUAAGACAGGUGUGAAAUCCCCGGGCUUAACCUGGGAACUGCGCUUGUGACUGCACAGCUAGAGUAUGGCAGAGGGGGGUGGAAUUCCACGUGUAGCAGUGAAAUGCGUAGAGAUGUGGAGGAACACCGAUGGCGAAGGCAGCCCCCUGGGCCAGUACUGACGCUCAUGCACGAAAGCGUGGGGAGCAAACAGGAUUAGAUACCCCCAUAGUCCCUGUCUCUUAUAC